UGCGCAUGAUCAAGAGGAAAUGACUUCAAGCACGAGCCCGGAGCCUAUCCUGUUAACUUACAUUACUACAAGUAAAAUUACAUGUAUCUAUGAAUCACUUCGAUGAAUUACCACCGGCUUAAAGUGCCAGGGUAAUGUUUCAUAGAGUGGAAUGAUUGACCUCAACACAAGUAUUAAAAUAAAAAAAGCAAAACAGGUCUACAUCUCAAAACCCGAUGACUUCCUGGACUGGCUUUAGUAGAACGAUGACGCAUAUCAAUUUCAUCCCUGAUCUCUAUGACACCUGCGGUUGAAGUGGAGGGCAAAUAGUAAUCAGUUUGGGUUCCAGCCGAGGACCUCUGUAAACUUUGCUUUUUGGUGAUGAAUUUGUUUCUGAGCUUGACAAGGACACCCUUGUGUUUAUCAUGGCCUCUCAUAUUGGAAGAUAACAUAAAGGGCUUGUGUGUUGACGGUUGUGUAUAUCUCUUGGUCAGGAAAGUUUAUGCACCAUCGCCAUUGUAAAUCAUUUGACAGGCCAGAGUGAACAGGGAGAUCUUUGAUUGGUCAGAAAUGUGUCAGACUCCAUACUGGGGGGUGUUGAUGAAAAAACUGUUGUAGUGUUACAUAAUCAGAUUAUUUCAAGUUACUUAUCCUGUGGAAAUACAGCUAUAUAGGAGAUAUUUUAAAAUUGAUAGGCACUGCAUCUUUCAACAUCUUAGAUUUGACCACAAUUUGGCACUUGAAACUACGUUAACAGAGAAAAACUGUGUAUAUUGAAUUUAUAUUUAUAUUGAAUUUAUCUCAUCUUUUUACAGAAUGCAUUUAUGUUCAAAAAUAAAAAUGUUGUG